GGAGGGGGGGCAAGCGUUAUUCGGAUUUACUGGGCGUAAAGCGCACGUAGGGCGGCCAAGCAUGUCGACGGGUGAAAGCCCUCGGCUCAACCGAGGAAUUGCCUUCGAAACUGCCCUGGCUUGAGUCCGGGAGGGGGGAGCGGAAUUCCCAGUGUAGCGGUGAAAUGCGUAGAUACUGGGAGGAACACCGGUGGCGAAGGCGGCUCCCUGGACCGGUACUGACGCUGAGGUGCGAAAGCGUGGGUAGCAAACAGGAUUAGAUACCCUGGUAGUCCACGCCGUAAACGAUGGGCACUAGGUGCAGCGGGUGUCGACCCCUGCUGUGCCGAAGUUAACGCAUUAAGUGCCCCGCCUGGGGAGUACGGUCGCAAAGGCUG
rnacentral:rRNA from 1 species